GACGAACGCUGGCGGCGUGCCUAACACAUGCAAGUCGAGCGGAGUUAGUAGCAAUACUAACUUAGCGGCGGACGGGUGAGUAACGCGUGAGUAACCUGCCGAGAACAGGGGGAUAACACAGGGAAACUUGUGCUAAUACCGCAUAAUAUCAUUGAAUGGCAUCAUUUGAUGAUCAAAGGAGUAAUCCGGUUUUUGAUGGACUCGCGUCUGAUUAGCUAGUAGGUGAGGUAAUGGCUCACCUAGGCGACGAUCAGUAGCCGAACUGAGAGGUUGAGCGGCCACAUUGGGACUGAGACACGGCCCAGACUCCUACGGGAGGCAGCAGUGGGGAAUAUUGCGCAAUGGGGGAAACCCUGACGCAGCAACGCCGCGUGAAGGAUGAAGGCUUUCGGGUUGUAAACUUCUUUGAUAGGGGACGAAUGAAUGACGGUACCCUAAAAACAAGCCACGGCUAACUACGUGCCAGCAGCCGCAGUAA
rnacentral:rRNA from 1 species